rnacentral:rRNA from 1 species
CUCUCAACGAUGGAUGCCUCGGCUCGAGAAUCGAUGAAGGACGCAGCGAAGUGCGAUAAGCACUGCGAUUUGCAGAAUUCCGUGAGCCAGUAGAAAUCUCAACGCAUACUGCACAAAGGGGAUUUAUCCUCUUUGUACAUACAUAUCAGUGUCGCUC